rnacentral:hammerhead_ribozyme from 1 species
GUACUGCUGAAGAGUACUAGACUAGGACGAAACAGCUGUCCAGUAU